CUGUAGAGACUACUUUUGACAUGCAAGUGUAAUUAGCUGCAUCAAGGGGUUAUAUUUAUCACUGCCCCCUGAAGAAAAGCAGGCGACUUACAGGUUUAUGGUUCCAGGGUGCGGUAAGGCUGUUUAUGUGUCUGGCUGUCUCAAAAGGCAAAAUUUAUCUGGAGGAGAUAACAGCAGGUCUGUCUGAAGCAAUUCCUCUGGCAAACAGAGACGGAUGGAGAAGUAAUACAAACAGAGGGAGCUGUGCUGGCCAAAAUAAAAACUCCCAAACUCAUACACUCACCCUUUCCUUCCUGUGCUGAUGCAGACCACCAGUCCCCUCAAGGAGGAAGCCUACUGCCAUGUUUUCUAUCUCAAGGUGAAGUUCCAGCUGCAGGUGCUGGAUGGGAAGAGGCGGCUGUAGAUAAAGAACUGGCCCAUCAAUCACAAAUGCCGUUAUAUGUGGGCCU